GUGGGGAAUAUUGGACAAUGGGCGCAAGCCUGAUCCAGCCAUGCCGCGUGAGUGAUGAAGGCCUUAGGGUUGUAAAGCUCUUUCGGCGGGGACGAUAAUGACGGUACCCGCAGAAGAAGCCCCGGCUAACUUCGUGCCAGCAGCCGCGGUAAUACGAAGGGGGCUAGCGUUGUUCGGAAUCACUGGGCGUAAAGCGCGCGUAGGCGGAUCGUUAAGUCGGGGGUGAAAUCCUGAGGCUCAACCUCAGAAUUGCCUUCGAUACUGGCGGUCUUUGAGUCCGGGAGAGGUGAGUGGAACUCCUAGUGUAGAGGUGAAAUUCGUAGAUAUUAGGAAGAACACCAGUGGCGAAGGCGGCUCACUGGCCCGGUACUGACGCUGAUGCGCGAAAGCGUGGGGAGCAAACAGGAUUAGAUACCCGUGUAGUCC
rnacentral:rRNA from 1 species